UGCUGCUGCCAAUGCUACUAGCCCUGGCGCCACUCCUAUCCCUACCCCGUACUAGUCUGCUCAUUCGGCUGCUGUGACGAAACAUGAGCCUUCUUCCACAAGCAAACGAUGGCGUGAAGCCCAAGUGCACAACCUCUCGGAGAGGAGGAGGAGGGACAUGAUCAACGAGAAGAUGAGGGCUCUGCAAGAACUCAUUCCCCACUGCAACAAAGGCCGGAGGAGAAGAGCACAACCACAACGAUCUGCGUAGGGCUGGAGGAGAAGAACACAUCGAAGUGGCAAAGAUUGGUAUCUCGGAGAGAUACCGAAAACAUCGAUCCCUCAACCACGCCGGAGGAGCCGUACGUGUGAUGAAUUCGGGGAGACGGAAUGGCGCAGAACUCAUCCGAUUUGGCCCAGAGAACUCACAUCCAUGGCCGUCCACGAGGUCUGCAGCCACGGGCGUAUCAAGCUGAGGAGGUGCAGUGACGGUGUGGCCUGGAUGCCCAAGGGAGCUCGUGAAGCAACUGACCAUU